rnacentral:rRNA from 1 species
UACGAAGGGGGCUAGCGUUGUCCGGAAUCAUUGGGCGUAAAGCGCGCGUAGGCGGCCCGGUAAGUCCGCUGUAAAAGUCAAAGGCUCAACCUUUGAAUGUCAGUGGAUACUGCCGGGCUAGAGUCCGGAAGAGGCGAGUGGAACUCCUGGUGUAGCGGUGGAAUGCGCAGAUAUCAGGAAGAACACCGACGACGCAAGGCAGCUCGCUGGGACGGUACUGACGCUGAGGCGCGAAAGCGUGGGGAGCGAACAGG